CAGGAAGUCCGAGAUCAAGGUGCCAGCAGAUUUGAUGUCUGGUGAGGGAUACUUCCUGGUUCAUAGAUAGCCAUCUUCUGUUUUUGUCUUCACAUGAUGGAACGGGGCAUGGAAAGAGGAGGUGGGACUAACAGAGCAGUGAAUCACUCCACACAAAACAGCAAAACAGGAGGGAACUGAGUUAUUUGUUGGCAGCUCAAGAUACUGGAGAAGAUGACGGGCCAGGAAGUUGAAAGAAGGUGAGAGGUUGAGGAGAGAAGAGGGGAGCUGGGGAGAAGCUCUGGCCACGUGAAAACCGGUAGAGCCUCCAGAAGACUGCAGCCAAGGAGGAAUUCCUUGUGGCAAGGAAUGUCUGAUGUUGAAUGUUAGAUGGUUUUCUGCGCUGUGCUGGGAUGAUACAACUUGACUCAACUCUUCAGUUGAUUGUUCCCUACUAACAGCACCCUGGGGUUAGUGUUGCUUUGGUUGAAAGGAAGCAUGAAAAAGUUCUUCUAUGAUUUCAUUUUUUUUAAUCCAACUCUUUAAUCCAUUUAGAAUUUAUUUUGAUAUAAAGAAUGAGGUGGAACAUUAGCUUAAUUUUUCUCCUGAAGUUUAGCCAAUGAUCUGACCAUCUUUUAAAUGAUUUUAAAUGCCACCUUGAUAUUAUGUUAAAUUAUACUAAAUGCUCAAGUAUACUUUGGUCUAUGCUUGUCUGGAAGAGACAUUCCAAUGUUCCCUCUCUCUUUUAGCUUUAGUAAUAAACUUUCAAAUUCAUCUGGACUCAUGGGUCUUCUAAAUCAUUACUAUGUCUCCCAACUUCUUUUGCUGCUAGCUAUGGCUGUUGAUAUAGAAGCAGG
rnacentral:lncRNA from 1 species